AGUCGUUAGGGAUCUCAACGUUCAUAAACAGAUGACCACGCGAAGGGAGAGACAACGUUCCACGGUCUUCAGCAACGAUGGCGAUCCAAAGGAGAAGGCGGCUGCGGCUAAUUUCAACGAUCAUCUAACAUGUUACAUGGAGAAUAUGCGUUACCUCGAGUCGGGGCUUAAGGUAUCUCCGACUCGAGGUAACGCAUCUUUUCAGAGUAACGCAAUUCAUCAUAGAGAUCAUCAUUCGAGAGGUGUAGCCGUGUACGAGAUCCCGGCAUGGACUCUCCUGGAAGUCUCGUCGUGCAGCUUUCGCGUGUGCAGCGAAAACUGCACGACGAGACGGCCAGAGAACCCGCCAAGCUCGAGAUCGACGCUGGGAUAACGAAGAUUUCAAUAGCAAAUUGGAAAAGAAGACAAAGGACUCGUAGAUAGCAGAGAAGGAAAUUAACCGAUUAAAAGUAUUGCUCGACAUUGAGAAACAGGAACAUAUCGAAUAAUUCUUGUAGUACCUGUCCUCCUCUAAGAAGAUAUUCUGCAGCUACAAGAAUUAUACAACCAAUAUGAGGCACAGAUGCUAAUCGAGAGGAAAUUGAAUUUUUAUAUGAAAACAAGGUCAAGGAUAUGGCAUCUCAUGCUCAACGUAAUAAUGGAACCAUCAGCAUAGCAGAAGAAUUAAGACAGAUACACUUUAGAAUCAAAGCAGCCUACAAUGCACGAAUCGAGUUGAAUAUCAAAUAACCUGAUUCGUGCAUUGUAGGCAGUUUCGAUUUUAUUCUUGCUCUCUGUGUCUGUAAGUUGCAAGCGAAAAGAUAUAAUAUAUGAUAUUAAUUAUGUUAAGAAUAUUUGUAAACCUAAAAGGAAGCAAUAAAUGUUUAUUCAUUCAUUCAAAUACAUUA